rnacentral:sRNA from 1 species
UCCCUCUUCUCCCUCAGAUUCCAAUUUAUAUCUACUUUACCACUUCCCAUUUCUCUCCAGGUCCAAUUGCCUUUCUUUGCUCCCUAUCCCUUUUAUGGGCUUUCCUGCCUACUUUUUGUCAGUUCUGAGGGACCUCUGGCUGGAGCAUCCUUGCCUACCUCUGUGUCUUCCCUGCCUUGCUCAAUCCCUUUUUCCCUGUCUCAAGCUGCUCCUCCUCCCCUGACUCAGGACUGGCUGUCUCAUCCCCAGCCCUUUUUUGCCAUUCCUUCCUACUCUGGUCAGUAGGAGGCAAAUGAGAGGGCUCAGCAAAAGCCCCACAAGCUCAUCCUUCUAAGGCAGGCGUGAUCAAGGCUGCCUGAUUGUCACUGCCAACUUCUGUGACCAAGGUAGACCUCUUCUUUCUCCUGCAGGAGACUCGAGUCCGGGCAGGGGAGCUGGACCAGGCUCUAGGACGGCCCUUCACCCUAAGCAUCAGUAACCAGUAUGGGGAUGAUGAGGUGACACACACCCUUCAGACAGAAAGUCGGGAAGCCCUGCAGAGCUGGAUGGAGGCUCUGUGGCAGCUUUUCUUUGACAUGAGCCAGUGGAAGCAGUGCUGUGAUGAAAUCAUGAAAAUUGAAACUCCUGCUCCCCGGAAACCACCCCAAGCACUGGCAAAGCAGGGGUCCUUGUACCAUGAGAUGGCUAUUGAGCCGCUGGAUGACAUCGCAGCGGUGACAGACAUCCUGACCCAGCGGGAGGGCGCAAGGCUGGAGACACCCCCACCCUGGCUGGCAAUGUUUACAAACCAGCCUGCCCUGCCUAACCCCUGCUCGCCUGCCUCAGUGGCCCCAGCCCCAGCCUGGACCCACCC